GGACUUCAAAUCCGUAGUCGAUUUGCGUCGAAGUGGUUCGAUUCCACCUGGGGGGCGAAUAUUAAUGGAGUUGCAUUCUUAAACUUU
rnacentral:tRNA from 1 species